GAUGAACGCUAGCUACAGGCUUAACACAUGCAAGUCGAGGGGAAACGACAUCGAAAGCUUGCUUUUGAUGGGCGUCGACCGGCGCACGGGUGAGUAACGCGUAUCCAACCUGCCCAUCACUUGGGGAUAACCUUGCGAAAGUAAGACUAAUACCCAAUGAUAUCUCUAGAAGACAUCUGAAAGAGAUUAAAGAUUUAUCGGUGAUGGAUGGGGAUGCGUCUGAUUAGCUUGUUGGCGGGGUAACGGCCCACCAAGGCAACGAUCAGUAGGGGUUCUGAGAGGGAGGGUCCCCACAUUGGAACUGAGACACGGUCCAAACUCCUACGGGAGGCAGCAGUGAGGAAUAUUGGUCAAUGGGCGAGAGCCUGAACCAGCCAAGUAGCGUGCAGGAAGACGGCCCUAUGGGUUGUAAACUGCUUUUAUAAGGGAAUAAAGUGAGAGUCGUGACUCUUUUUGUAUGUACCUUAUGAAUAAGGACCGGCUAAUUCCGUG
rnacentral:rRNA from 1 species